AUUGAACGCUGGCGGCAGGCCUAACACAUGCAAGUCGAACGGUAACAGGAGGAAGCUUGCUUCUUUGCUGACGAGUGGCGGACGGGUGAGUAAUGUCUGGGAAACUGCCUGAUGGAGGGGGAUAACUACUGGAAACGGUAGCUAAUACCGCAUAACGUCGCAAGACCAAAGAGGGGGACCUUCGGGCCUCUUGCCAUCGGAUGUGCCCAGAUGGGAUUAGCUAGUAGGUGGGGUAACGGCUCACCUAGGCAACGAUCCCUAGCUGGUCUGAGAGGAUGACCAGCCACACUGGAACUGAGACACGGUCCAGACUCCUACGGGAGGCAGCAGUGGGGAAUAUUGCACAAUGGGCGCAAGCCUGAUGCAGCCAUGCCGCGUGUAUGAAGAAGACCUUCGGGUUGUAAAGUACUUUCAGCGGGGAGGAAGGGAGUAAAGUUAAUACCUUUGCUCAUUGACGUUACCCGCAGAAGAAGCACCGGCUAACUCCGUG
rnacentral:rRNA from 1 species